rnacentral:rRNA from 1 species
AUUGAACGCUGGCGGAAUGCUUUACACAUGCAAGUCGAGCGGCAGCGCGGGGCAACCUGGCGGCGAGCGGCGAACGGGUGAGUAAUGUAUCGGAACGUAUCCUUAAGUGGGGGACAACUAGUCGAAAGACUAGCUAAUACCGCAUACGAUCGAGAGAUGAAAGUGGGGGACCGCAAGGCCUCACGCUUUUGGAGCGGCCGAUAUCCGAUUAGCUUGUUGGUGGGGUAAAGGCCUACCAAGGCAACGAUCUGUAGUUGGUCUGAGAGGACGACCAGCCACACUGGGACUGAGACACGGCCCAGACUCCUACGGGAGGCAGCAGUGGGGAAUUUUGGACAAUGGGCGCAAGCCUGAUCCAGCAAUGCCGCGUGCAGGAAGAAGG